rnacentral:tmRNA from 1 species
GGGGGCGCAAUGGUUUCGACAGGGGCGUUGAUACAAGAUAAGCGAGCCGGGAUAGCCUGAAACCGUAACAAUUAUGGCAACUAAAUUUAAACGCUAAAAACGAAAAAUUAGCUUUCGCGGCAUAAAGCCCGCGAUGUCCUGAAGUACUCAUUCCUGCGUGAUAUUUCAGGGCAUAAAAUAAUGCAGGAUAUUCAAAAGACAUAAUCUUCGGUGUCUUUUGAAAAUUUACGAAGAUAGCACUAAGUUAAGUCGGUCGCCUGUCUUAACUUGUGCGAAGUGCGAAUAGCGACUGCGCUCGGAGAAAAUCUUGAGGAUGCGUUUUUGGACGCGGGUUCGACUCCCGCCGCCUCCACCA